rnacentral:rRNA from 1 species
GUGGCGAACGGGUGAGUAAUGUAUCGGAACGUACCAUUCAGUGGGGGAUAACGUAGCGAAAGUUACGCUAAUACCGCAUAUUCUGUGAGCAGGAAAGCAGGGGAUCGCAAGACCUUGCGCUGAUUGAGCGGCCGAUAUCAGAUUAGCUAGUUGGUGAGGUAAAGGCUCACCAAGGCGACGAUCUGUAGCGGGUCUGAGAGGAUGAUCCGCCACACUGGAACUGAGACACGGUCCAGACUCCUACGGGAGGCAGCAGUGGGGAAUUUUGGACAAUGGGGGCAACCCUGAUCCAGCCAUGCCGCGUGAGUGAAGAAGGCCUUCGGGUUGUAAAGCUCUUUCGGCCGGAAAAAAAUCGCAUGGGUUAAUACCCUGUGUGGAUGAUGGUACCGGAAUAAGAAGCACCGGCUAACUACGUGCCAGCAGCCGCGGUAAUACGUAGGGUGCGAGCGUUAAUCGGAGUUACUGGGCGUAAAGCCUGCGCAGGCGGUUUGAUAAGACAGGCGUGAAAUCCCCGGGCUCAACCUGGGAACUGCGUUUGUGACUGUCUCACUAGAGUACGGCAGAGGGGGGUGGAAUUCCACGUGUAGCAGUGAAAUGCGUAGAGAUGUGGAGGAACACCAAUGGCGAAGGCAGCCCCCUGGGUCGAUACUGACGCUCAUGCACGAAAGCGUGGGUAGCAAACAGGAUUAGAUACCCUGGUAGUCCACGCCCUAAACGAUGUCAACUAGGUGUUGGGAGGGUAAAACCUUUUAGUACCGUAGCUAACGCGAGAAGUUGACCGCCUGGGGAGUACGGCCGCAAGGUUAAAACUCAAAGGAAUCGACGGGGACCCGCACAAGCGGUGGAUGAUGUGGAUUAAUUCGAUGCAACGCGAAAAACCUUACCUACCCUUGACAUGUCCAGGAGCCCGAAGAGAUUUGGGUGUGCUCGAAAGAGAACUGGAACACAGGUGCUGCAUGGCUGUCGUCAGCUCGUGUCGUGAGAUGUUGGGUUAAGUCCCGCAACGAGCGCAGCCCUUGUCGUUAAUUGCCAUCAUUUAGUUGGGCACUUUAACGAGACUGCCGGUGACAAACCGGAGGAAGGUGGGGAUGACGUCAAGUCCUCAUGGCCCUUAUGGGUAGGGCUUCACACGUCAUACAAUGGUCGGUACAAAGGGUUGCCAACCCGCGAGGGGGAGCUAAUCCCAUAAAGCCGAUCGUAGUCCGGAUCGCAGGCUGCAACUCGCCUGCGUGAAGUCGGAAUCGCUAGUAAUCGUGGAUCAGCAUGUCACGGUGAAUACGUUCCCGGGUCUUGUACACACCGCCCGUCACACCAUGGGAGCGGGUUCCGCCAGAAGUAGGUAGCCUAACCGCAAGGAGGGCGCUUACCACGGCGGGGUUCGUGACUGGGGUGAAGUCGUAACAAGGUA